AGGAAAAAUUGGUGGAUUUCAAGGAAUCAAGUGACAAAAGGUGGUGAAACUUCCGAUAAGGGUAAGGAGAUUGUACUCGAAGACUAGGACUAGGAGUACUUUGACUCCUGAUAUUGCUCAGGUUAGUCUGUAGAUAGUUGAUUUCAUUGAGGGCUACAGUUGGAUUUGCAUCCUUAAAAACUGUAGGUUCGUAGCCUUUGUUACUUUUGAUCAUUCGGGGGCCCACACGUCAUUGUAAAUUAAAUUACAUACUCUAGUUAUCUGUGUUACUGUAUGUACGAAUUUAUUUUGCUUUAAUGCUACA